rnacentral:rRNA from 1 species
AUGAACGCUGGCGGCGUGCCUAAUACAUGCAAGUCGAGCGCACGGACGAGAAGCUUGCUUCUCUGAUGUUAGCGGCGGACGGGUGAGUAACACGUGGAUAACCUACCUAUAAGACUGGGAUAACUUCGGGAAACCGUAGCUAAUACCGGAUAAUAUUUUGAACCGCAUGGUUCAAAAGUGAAAGACGGUCUUGCUGUCACUUAUAGCUGGAUCCGCGCUGCAUUAGCUAGUUGGUAAGGUAACGGCUUACCAAGGCAACGAUGCAUAGCCGACCUGAGAGGGUGAUCGGCCACACUGGAACUGAGACACGGUCCAGACUCCUACGGGAGGCAGCAGUAGGGAAUCUUCCGCAAUGGGCGAAAGCCUGACGGAGCAACGCCGCGUGAGUGAUGAAGGUCUUCGGAUCGUAAAACUCUGUUAUUAGGGAAGAACAUAUGUGUAAGUAACUGUGCACAUCUUGACGGUACCUAAUCAGAAAGCCACGGCUAACUACGUG